UGGGUAAUUAUGGCCCUCGUCAGCGGAAGCGCCCCCACGCGUCGGUGAAAGCGGCGGGCGGUGGCUUGCGUCCUCUGGCUUGUGGGUGGGGAAUGACGCGUGUAAUUUAAUUUUGUCACUGUUUGAGGACGCGAGGAGGAGACUGCAAAUUUCAGUCGUACUUAUACCUAUCCCCACAUGAGGCCCUUUGGUACUUUUACUUUACUCUCGGUCGAAAUAAAAUAACGCUUGGUGUGGUCGUGUCACUUCUCUGGGAGGCAAGAAAAAGAUUAUCGGUUUUGCUGGAUCUCAGUCGGCUCAGUCGACGAGAUUAGCCGCCGAUCGAUCUGAAUUUUUUUGUCAAGCACUGGUUCGGAUCUCUUUUCUUGUUCGAGAUUGUUUCUGAUCGAUGUGAAAUCUGGGCUGCCUGUUUGUAGGCCGUAUAAUUUUGAAGGUCUGGGCUUUGUGUUAUGGGCUGAUUUUUAUUUUAUUUUUGGCCUUUUUAUUUAUUUGUUCUGCUAAGGCUCAAAUAGCGUGUUUAAUAAACUGAAUUACACUUCUUUUACAUAAAGUAUUACACUUUGUCUACCAUUAAAUUUGCACGGUAAAUAUUUAAAAAUUUAGGCAGCAACAAGACUACGUUUUUUAUUAUAUUAAAGAUUGUUUCGCUAAUUCUCAAACGCCUGGGAAAUUCUUAGUAUAAUUUUGUUAUGUCUUUUUUAUAUAGCUUGUAUAUUGUUUUUAUAUUUUGUCGGUCAAUUUUUUGUUGGACUUCCUCGCGUAUGGUUUAUUUUCUUAGACACAUUGUAUAUAAAUUGCACGUUCUAAGAUUUAUCUUGUUAUUUAUCUGUAUUAUAUUAAAUGCGGUUUUAGUAAUUCUCGAAACUACUAAAAUCGCGCAUAAAGUUUUAACGGCAAUUUUUAGAAUCGUGCAUAAAGUUUCACCUGCAAUUUUUAGAAUCGCGCAUAAAGUUUCACUGCAAUUUUUAGAAUCGCGCAUCAAGUUCCACUGCAAUUUUUAGAAUCUCGCAUGAAGUUUCACCUGCAAUUUUUAGAAUCGUGCAUAAUUUUCACUUGCAAUUUUUAGAAUUUAUUUGUUAUUAUUUUUAUUGCCUUUUUCCCUUCCUCCGUGGUGUUGUCUGUGCUUUGCAAGUAUGUUUUUGGAUCGGUCAUAUUUCAUAUUUCAAGUUUUUACCACCGUUGUUAAUUUUAUAGAAAUACACAUGAGAACCACAUAAGUGGGACUGGAUUCAUGUUACUAAAAAAUGAAUACGUUUUAUUGUGAUCUCAACACACACACAGAGAAACACGCAGGGAUGUAAUAAUCACUCUCUCUCACACACACACACAUACUCACACAAGCGCACACAUGCAUGUACGCCGGUCCCCACACACACACCAAGCGCAGACACACAAGCACACACAUGCAUGCACGCCGGUCAACUGAAGUGUAGUCAAAACCAAAAGAUAUUCUACUUCCUUCUUUUCAAAUGGCGCACACGCAUUUCGAGAUUUUACUUUGACCAACAUUUAGACUGAUGAUAUGAGGAUUAUGUGUGACAAAAAUUAUAUCAUUAGAUUCGUAUUAAAAAAACUUUUCCAACGGUAUAAAAUUUAUAACAUACAAUGUAC
rnacentral:lncRNA from 1 species